GAUGAACGCGUAGCGGCAGGCCUAAUACAUGCAAGUCGGACGGGAUCGUAGGGAGUAGCUUGCUACGAACUAGUGAGAGUGGCGCACGGGUGCGUAACGCGUGAGCAACCUACCCAUAUCAGGGGGAUAGCCCGAAGAAAUUCGGAUUAACACCGCAUAACACAGCAACUUCGCAUGAAGUCACUGUUAAAUAUUUAUAGGAUAUGGAUGGGCUCGCGUGACAUUAGCUAGUUGGUAAGGUAACGGCUUACCAAGGCUACGAUGUCUAGGGGCUCUGAGAGGAGAAUCCCCCACACUGGUACUGAGACACGGACCAG
rnacentral:rRNA from 1 species